AGUGAACGCUGGCGGCGUGCUUAACACAUGCAAGUCGAACGGUAACAGAGAAGAGCUUGCUUUUCUGCUGACGAGUGGCGCACGGGUGAGUAAUAUAUAGUUAAUGUGCCUCGAAGACCGGGAUAGCCAUUGGAAACGAUGAUUAAUACUGGAUACACCUUCUAAACUUAAGUUUAGUCGGGAAACGUUUUUUCGCUUCGAGACCAGACUAUAUCCCAUCAGUUUGUUGGUGAGGUAAGAGCUCACCAGGGCAAUGACGGGUAGCGGGUUUGAGAGGAUGAUCCGCCACACUGGUACUGAGACACGGACCAGACUCCUACGGGAGGCAGCAGUGAGGAAUAUUGCACAAUGGGGGAAACCCUGAUGCAGCAACGCCGCGUGGAGGAUGACGCAUUUCGGUGUGUAAACUCCUUUUAUGAGUCAAGAAAAUGACGGUAGCUCAUGAAUAAGCACCGGCUAACUCCGUGCCAGCAGCCGCGGUAAUACGGAGGGUGCAAGCGUUACUCGGAAUCACUGGGCGUAAAGGACGCGUAGGCUGGUUGGUAAGUCAGAUGUGAAAUCCUACAGCUUAACUGUAGAACUGCAUUUGAAGCUACUAACCUAGAGUAUGGGAGGGGGAGAUGGAAUUAGAGGUGU
rnacentral:rRNA from 1 species